CCAUCUUAGAUUAGGGCAGAGCGGUCCGUUUGCCUGUGACGUGCCUCUAUGAAGCGAUAGGGAAGCCCGAGCGGCCAUGCUGAAGUUGGGCACUUUGCCCUUUCCCUGAGAGGGCAACGGUGAACUCACGGGUCAGGCUGGGCCCUAGAGAAGGAGACGGAGAGCCCCACCCCAGGGGAGUCUGGCUGCGCCUGCAGCUGGGAGGGGCUGAAGCUGGGGUGGGGGGUGAUGGCCCCUCAGUCAGCCCCAUCCCUGCACAGUCUUGGGACCUGGCACAGCCGGUGACUGCCCCCGCACUCCCAGCCCGUCGCCCUGCCCUUAGCCCCCUCGCAGAGCAGGAGGCCGAAGGCCCUGGUGGCAGCGCCGUGCAUUCGGAAAAACCCAAUUGAGAGAGAGAUGGAGAGAGAACAACCCUUGGAAAAUGAGUCAAAGAGGUAAUACAUGAAAGAACACUGAUGAAAAAACAAAAGCCCCAUGGAGGAGGGAAUGUACUCGUGAAAAUUUGUGAAGUUCACUGUGCUUCAUCUUCUCAAAUGGAGUUUGUUCCCCCACAGAAGAAUCAAGAUGCUUGGCCCUCCACCCACACAGUUAUGCCCAAGAUCCACAGUUCCUAUGAAGUGAACAUCACCACCAGCACACAGAGGUGCUGUUUGCAUUUAUCACUGCCUGUUAUCAUUUGACUACCGGAAAAGAAGGUGACUCUUAACCAGGAGAUGACUGCUAGAAGAGAGGCCUCCAAGGAGAUCAUUACCAAAAUAUUAUUCCAUGAUCAAAGAACUCAGCAACUCAUCAUGCCUAUGCGGCAACAUCUAACUCACCUCACAUACACUCUUGUCCUAUUGUAUUGAUUAAAAGUCAAAACAUUUCAAAUGUCAGAGAUGUGUGGGUGUGUACACACACACACAUAAAACAUGCAGAUAUAUGUAUAUACAUUUAGCCAAAUAUGGAGUGCGUAGCAUACUCUUUGUGACUAAUUUUGUUUGUCUGUAUGAAAAUUCUAUCUCCAAGCUGUUGUUCAGAUUGUUGUGUGUCAGGGGUUAAAAUUAACUGGCUAUUUUUAUAUGAAAUGUCUUUAUAACUUUACUCCAGAGGGGACCAUGUACCUCUCCAACUCAGAAGGGCAACAUCAAGCCCUUCCCUGACCCAUCCUAAAAGUGGGGGCUUUCUCUUUAAACUGCACUUCUAAUAUGAAUAAAACUGUCUGUCUGUCAAAACAAUCAUCUUCACUUUUGUGCCUUUAGAUGGUGUAAUCCAAACCUAAUCUAAGCAGGAAUUUGAGGGCUUGAUUUUUUCCCCUCACAGAUACUAGUAUAAAUCAAAAAUAGUUCCACUGGCAGUGAUGGAGUUACAGUGAUAUGAAAUGGGUCAAAGUGGGAAGAGAAUCAGGCACUGAAUUUCUAAGCUCUGUCCUGCCCCUCCACCAUCACCUUGGCAGCAUAUGCCCAGGAAAGACUAGA